AGGUUGUUAGCAGUUACAGGCAUUGUAGGGCAUAAGAAGGCCCUGGCUGGGCUGCUAAUCAGGAGGAGGAAGGUAGCAAUGGAAAAGGCUAUAUUUCUGGCCUCCUGGAAGGCUGGCUGUGCUUAGCACAGCAGGUGAACAGUACUGGAACUCUAUAGGGAAGACAGAGCCUCAGGGAGGAGGGACUGGUCCCAGCUGAAACUGGGAUGAAGAGAUUUGAUGUCUGGAGGCCCCAAUCAAGAUAUGUUAAGUGACUCCACCAGGAUCACGCAGGGAAUCAGUGGCAGAGCCAGCAAUGAAAUCCAGGGGUCCUGACUCUGCUAGCCAAGUUGCCUUCCUUGAAGUUUGCUAGAUGGUAAACUCUCCUUGCAGCAUGAAGUGUUUCUGCUGAUGAAGAAUGUGAUUGGAACAGCUAAUUGGCUGAUGAGGAAAGCCAUGGGUGUUGGAGAAUGAAGCAUUGUUACCGCUGAGUACAACAGACAACUGCUUUAGAGGUUUUCAUUUGGUGAAAAUAAUAUUCCAAAAACUGAGUGAGGAUUUGUAAUGCUGGGUUUUGUGCUACACAGUGAGGCAACCUAGAGGAUUAAGAUAAUCAUUAAGAAGAUAAAUGCAAAAGAUAUGAGCAAAGGUUAUUCACCUUCAUUGAUAUUAGUCCCUUAUUAGCAACAUCACAGAAUGCUAGAUCACCUCAUUCUUAACCUCAUGUGCCUGACCUGCUGUUAAGCCAAUUUAAAGCUUUAUUAUUCUCUUAGUUGAUGAGAUUUACAGUAACCUCUACAAAUCUGUUGCUCUUUAAUCUUAAUUUGACCUCCCAUUUUUAUAAUGUAUUUUGGAGCCAUUAGCAAUAAGUGAGACUGAUGAUUCUGUUUAACAUUUUUCUGUACAAAUUAGUUGUCCACCUAACUCUCUUCCAUGUAACAUGGCUGAACCAUCCUUUAGAUACUAAAAGCAGCAUGUGGCUGGGGAUAUACUGUCCUAGGAAUUUUGUAUCCUCCUGAGCAUCUUGAUAUCUGUCUCCAUAGGAACAGAAUUCCAAUUAAUACUUGUGCAUAAGCUUAAUGGGGCCUUUUAAAUCUUACUCUUGCUUCUUUUCAGAAAAGGGAGUAGUGAGAGAAUAGCACAAGUGAAUUAACCUGAGAGAGAAGUCUUCUUCCUGCCUCUCCUAGCUUGACCAAUACGUGCGAUAAUGCUGAGAAAAUUAAGUGAUUCUCAUGCUAGUUACAUGGAGCUAGAAUAACAGAUUUAAGGAACUGCCUGACUGCAUGUAGGCGAAGUAUUAGAGAAGGUACUGGUGGCGUCUAUCCAGAGAGGUUAUUGGCUUGUGGUAACCAGAUUAAAAGAAACAUUGUAGAGGGCUUGGAUAGCUCAGGGGAAUUGGUAAUGGGAUACAAAUAGUCUUUAACCUCACUGGUUCGAAUGUGGCUUAGGCUGAGAGUAAAUGAACAUUGUCCUCUUUUGAGGGCUGUUAGGUGCCUAUGAAAAAUGGAAUUCAACUGAGAUCGUCUACUGGAUCAGGUAUCCCUCCUCCCACACAAACAAACCCAACCACUAAUGGCAUUCUCACUUGCAGUUAACACAGACAACCUAAGCACUAAAUGCUCUUAAAAACACUUCAGUAAUUGCCCUACCAGGCAGUAUCGUUGUUCUUAGCAGUAGCAAUAGGAUCAUGACCAAAGUAUUGUUCUAUAAGAGUGGGCAUGAAGAACCAAGUGCUGCUUACCCUUAAGUGAUCCUGACAGGCAGCAAUGAGUGACAUCUGCAGGGCCCUGAGCAGAACCUUGUAUUGCUGCUCUUUUUGUUAGCCUAGUGAAAGGCUAUCAGUCUGAAACCUUUAACAUACACUUCAGAUUUGGAGAAAUAAAUAUAAUUUUCUUUAAUGACACUUCUGUCUAUAACGAAGACAGGCCUGGGUAAACCCUGGACUAAAGUGCGGAUGAUCUAUCCAACUACUGACAGUGCCCUUUCUGGCAAGUGCUUGGAUGUUCUCUGUGUGAUUAAGGAUGAAAGGAACGGUUGAUUCACCUGAUUCUCAUUCCUUACUCUUUUUUGCAGGGGGGAAAACUGCUCUAUAGUUAGUUAGUUUGUUUAAUUAAGCAGGACAGUCCCCUUCAUUUUUCUAAUGAUUCUCUUGGAAGAGAAACUUUGCUCCCGAUAUCUGUUCUGUAUGUGUCCUCUAGUAGAUUUGAAUCAUGGCCUCUUCUGCCUCAUUAGAUAGUCUGAACUGGAGCUGAUUGAGAGUUUUCAGACUAAAUGUCUUUUUUUUUUGUCUGAAAAUGCUGAUUUGUCAAAACAAAGAGUGUUCUCUAGAAAGGGUCUGUUUUGCUGAAUCUCCUGAUAUUUUAAAAAAAAUAGUUUCAAAAUUAAGUGUCUUAUUUUGACACUUUUUUUAAAUGAAAAGUUUGAGUUUUGUGCAAAAAUUCUUGGUUUCAAAUUUUAGUGGGUUUUUUCCCUACAAAAAAAAAUUAAUAGAAAUUACU